AUUGAACGCUGGCGGCAUGCCUUACACAUGCAAGUCGAGCGAAGCCUUCGGGCUUAGCGGCGGACGGGUGAGUAACGCGUGGGAACGUGCCCUUUGGUACGGAAUAGCCCCGGGAAACUGGGAGUAAUACCGUAUGUGGUCGAGAGACGAAAGAUUUAUCGCCAAAGGAUCGGCCCGCGUUGGAUUAGGUAGUUGGUGGGGUAGUGGCCUACCAAGCCGACGAUCCAUAGCUGGUUUGAGAGGAUGAUCAGCCACACUGGGACUGAGACACGGCCCAGACUCCUACGGGAGGCAGCAGUGGGGAAUCUUAGACAAUGGGGGAAACCCUGAUCUAGCCAUGCCGCGUGAUCGAUGAAGGCCUUAGGGUUGUAAAGAUCUUUCAGUGGGGAGGAUAAUGACUGUACCCACAGAAGAAGCCCCGGCUAACUCCGUGCCAGCCGCCGCCGUAACAC
rnacentral:rRNA from 1 species